AGAAACAGAAUGGCAGUUGACAGAUUUCCCAUCGAGUAUCAUCGUGGAGAUAUUCUUAAGGCUUCCUGUAAAGGCCCUCGGCAAAUGCAGGUGGUAGAGGAUUCUGGCACAAACCGCUUCUGGUUCGAGAACAUGAAUUUCGCAAAACAAUUUGACUUACAGAACUAUGAAUGUGACCUUGUCAAUUCUUGCAAUGGGUUGGUUUGCCUAUCCGGGGUUCAAGAGGGAUCAAUCUAUGUAUGCAACCCAGUUUUAGGUGAGUACAUUACUAUUCCGGUGCCUGAUGAUUAUGGGAGAUAUAAUAAAUCUUUUGCUUUAGGCUUCAAUGUCAGAACUAAUGAAUUCAAGGUGUUACAUACUUUUAAAGUGCUGCCGUAUCUACUAGAGGCUGAAAUAUACACUCUGGGUACAGGAUCAUGGAGAAGCAUUGGAAAUGCACUUGGACCUGUUAGGAGAAGUUCCUGCACCGCCUCAAUUCAAAUUAGACAUGCUUUCAUUCGAUCGUUUGAGGUUGGGGGUGUUUGAUGGCUGUCUAUCUGCAUGUUGUUAUCGUGCCAACGGUGCUUGGGAAUUAGAAAUUUGCGUUACGAAGGACUAUGGUGUCAAGGAAUCCUGGACUACACAGUUUCGAAUAAAUCCUUAUGUGACUGACUGCAAGACUGACUACUAUUAUCCACUAAUCUUUUUGAAGAAUGGGGAAAUCCUGAUUUCCUUCAAUGAUGAGUUUGUAGUUUGCUACAAUCUGGAAAAAGGAAGCCUUCGAGACACUAGAAUUUUUCGAACCAUGGGAGAAUUCACCACAAUUGGAUACACCCCAUGCUUUGUUUCACUGGAUGAUUUUGCUAAAGGAGAACAGAUAUCAAGGAAGAGAAGCAGUGGGAAGGAUGGCAGCACCUGCUUUUGACAAGGUCUUCUGUAAAAGUCACUCCAAGUCAAGGACUCAAGGGAAGGGAACUUAGCAUCCUUUUAGCGGUUAGCUACGGGCAGUUAAAGCUGUGAUAUCAAAGUGAAAGUCUUGGAGAACAAACAGAGCAAUCCCGUUGUGAAGUUCCAUUUUUGAGAAAUCUUCAUUUACCCUAUUAAGUUUAUAUGAAGGGUUUUGUUGAUGUUUUGAUUUACCUUCAUUACAUUGUUAAUUAUAGUAAGUAACACCGUUUCUGUGAAGACCAAAAAUGCAGAUAAAGUUAUAAUUACAUUGUUCUUUUGAUAUGACUGGAAACUUUCAUUUUAAUUUUUAAAGCAGCUAUUAGAUGCUGCAACUU